GAUGAACGCUGGCGGCGUGCUUAACACAUGCAAGUCGAACGAUGAAGCCCAGCUUGCUGGGUGGAUUAGUGGCGAACGGGUGAGUAACACGUGAGUAACCUGCCCUUAACUCUGGGAUAAGCCUGGGAAACUGGGUCUAAUACCGGAUAGGAGCGUCCACCGCAUGGUGGGUGUUGGAAAGAUUUAUCGGUUUUGGAUGGACUCGCGGCCUAUCAGCUUGUUGGUGAGGUAAUGGCUCACCAAGGCGACGACGGGUAGCCGGCCUGAGAGGGUGACCGGCCACACUGGGACUGGGACACGGCCCAGACUCCUACGGGAGGCAGCAGUGGGGAAUAUUGCACAAUGGGCGCAAGCCUGAUGCAGCGACGCCGCGUGAGGGAUGACGGCCUUCGGGUUGUAAACCUCUUUCAGUAGGGAAGAAGCGAAAGUGACGGUACCUGCAGAAGAAGCACCGGCUAACUACGAG
rnacentral:rRNA from 1 species